rnacentral:rRNA from 1 species
GACGAACGCUGGCGGCGUGCUUAACACAUGCAAGUCGAACGAAGAGCGAUGGAAGCUUGCUUCUAUCAAUCUUAGUGGCGAACGGGUGAGUAACGCGUAAUCAACCUGCCCUUCAGAGGGGGACAACAGUUGGAAACGACUGCUAAUACCGCAUACGAUCUAAUCUCGGCAUCGAGGAAAGAUGAAAGGUGGCCUCUAUUUAUAAGCUAUCACUGAAGGAGGGAUUGCGUCUGAUUAGCUAGUUGGAGGUGUAACGGCCCACCAGGCGAUGAUCAGUAGCCGGUCUGAGAGGAUGAACGCCACAUUGGACUGAGACACGGCCAGACUCCUACGGAGCAGCAGUGGGAUCUUCGCAAUGACGAAGUCUGACGGAGCACGCGCGUGAGUGAUGACGGCUU